AGUGAACGCUGGCGGUAGGCCUAACACAUGCAAGUCGAACGGCAGCACAGUAAGAGCUUGCUCUUACGGGUGGCGAGUGGCGGACGGGUGAGGAAUACAUCGGAAUCUACUUUUUCGUGGGGGAUAACGUAGGGAAACUUACGCUAAUACCGCAUACGACCUACGGGUGAAAGCAGGGGAUCUUCGGACCUUGCGCGAUUGAAUGAGCCGAUGUCGGAUUAGCUAGUUGGCGGGGUAAAGGCCCACCAAGGCGACGAUCCGUAGCUGGUCUGAGAGGAUGAUCAGCCACAAUGGAACUGAGAAACGGUCCAGACUCCUACGGGAGGCAGCAGUGGGGAAUAUUGGACAAUGGGCGCAAGCCUGAACCAGCCAUACCGCGUGGGUGAAGAAGGCCUUCGGGUUGUAAAGCCCUUUUGUUGGGAAAGAAAAGCAGCAGGUUAAUACCCCGCUGUUCUGACGGUACCCAAAGAAUAAGCACCGGCUAACUUCGUG
rnacentral:rRNA from 1 species